rnacentral:rRNA from 1 species
AUUGAACGCUGGCGGCAUGCCUUACACAUGCAAGUCGAAUGGUAACAGGCCGCAAGGUGCUGACGAGUGGCGAACGGGUGAGUAAUACAUCGGAACGUGCCCGAUCGUGGGGGAUAACGCAGCGAAAGCUGUGCUAAUACCGCAUACGAUCUACGGAUGAAGGCGGGGGAUCGCAAGACCUCGCGCGGACGGAGCGGCCGAUGGCCGAUUAGGUAGUUGGGGGGGUAAAGGCCUACCAAGCCGACGAUCUGUAGCUGGUCUGAGAGGACGACCAGCCACACGGGGACGGAGACACGGCCAGGACUCCUACAGGAGGCAGCAGUGGGGAAUUUUGGACAAUGGGCGCAAGCCUGAUCCAGCCAUGCCGCGUGCAGGAUGAAGGCCUUCGGGUUGUAAACUGCUUUUGUACGGAACGAAAAGGUUUCUUUUAAUACAGGGAACUGAUGACGGUGCCGUAAGAAUAAGCACCGGCUAACUACGUGCCAGCCGCCGCCGUAAGAC